UACGGGGGGUGCAAGCGUUGUCCGGAUUUAUUGGGUUUAAAGGGUGCGUAGGCGGCGUAGUAGGUCCGUGGUGAAAGCCAACAGCUCAACUGUUGAACUGCCAUGGAUACUGCUAGGCUUGAGUACAGACGAGGUAGGCGGAAUGGAUAGUGUAGCGGUGAAAUGCAUAGAUACUAUCCAGAACACCGAUUGCGAAGGCAGCUUACUAGACUGUAACUGACGCUGAGGCACGAAAGCGUGGGGAGCGGACAGG
rnacentral:rRNA from 1 species